rnacentral:rRNA from 1 species
UGGGGAAUUUUGGACAAUGGGCGCAAGCCUGAUCCAGCCAUGCCGCGUGCGGGAAGAAGGCCUUCGGGUUGUAAACCGCUUUUGUCAGGGAAGAAAUCUUCUGAGUUAAUACCUCGGGAGGAUGACGGUACCUGAAGAAUAAGCACCGGCUAACUACGUGCCAGCAGCCGCGGUAAUACGUAGGGUGCAAGCGUUAAUCGGAAUUACUGGGCGUAAAGCGUGCGCAGGCGGUUUUGUAAGACAGAGGUGAAAUCCCCGGGCUCAACCUGGGAACUGCCUUUGUGACUGCAAGGCUUGAGUGCGGCAGAGGGGGGAUGGAAUUCCGCGUGUAGCAGUGAAAUGCGUAGAUAUGCGGAGGAACACCGAUGGCGAAGGCAAUCCCCUGGGCCUGCACUGACGCUCAUGCACGAAAGCGUGGGGAGCAAAACAGGAUUAGAUACCCUGGUAGUCCACGCCCUAAAACGAUGUCAACUGGUUGUUGGGAAGGUUCCUUCUCAGUAACGUAGCUAACGCGUGAAGUUGACCGCCUUGGGAGUACGGCCGCAAGGUUGAAACUUAAAUGAAUUGACGGGGUCAUAGCUGUUUCCUG